rnacentral:rRNA from 1 species
CUUCCGUAGGGUGAACCUGCGGAGGGAUCAUUACCGAGUUUACAACUCCCAAACCCAAUGUGAACCAUACCAAACUGUUGCCUCGGCGGGGUCACGCCCCGGGUGCGUCGCAGCCCCGGAACCAGGCGCCCGCCGGAGGGACCAACCAAACUCUUUCUGUAGUCCCCUCGCGGACGUUAUUUCUUACAGCUCUGAGCAAAAAUUCAAAAUGAAUCAAAACUUUCAACAACGGAUCUCUUGGUUCUGGCAUCGAUGAAGAACGCAGCGAAAUGCGAUAAGUAAUGUGAAUUGCAGAAUUCAGUGAAUCAUCGAAUCUUUGAACGCACAUUGCGCCCGCCAGUAUUCUGGCGGGCAUGCCUGUCCGAGCGUCAUUUCAACCCUCGAACCCCUCCGGGGGGUCGGCGUUGGGGAUCGGGAACCCCUAAGACGGGAUCCCGGCCCCGAAAUACAGUGGCGGUCUCGCCGCAGCCUCUCCUGCGCAGUAGUUUGCACAACUCGCACCGGGAGCGCGGCGCGUCCACGUCCGUAAAACACCCAACUUCUGAAAUGUUGACCUCGGAUCAGGUAGGAAUACCCGCUGAACUUAAGCAUAUCAAUAAGCGGAGGAA